GAUGAACGCUGGCGGCGUGCCUAAUACAUGCAAGUCGAGCGAACAGACGAGGAGCUUGCUCCUCUGACGUUAGCGGCGGACGGGUGAGUAACACGUGGAUAACCUACCUAUAAGACUGGGAUAACUUCGGGAAACCGGAGCUAAUACCGGAUAAUAUAUUGAACCGCAUGGUUCAAUAGUGAAAGACGGUUUUGCUGUCACUUAUAGAUGGAUCCGCGCCGCAUUAGCUAGUUGGUAAGGUAACGGCUUACCAAGGCAACGAUGCGUAGCCGACCUGAGAGGGUGAACGGCCACACUGGAACUGAGACACGGUCCAGACUCCUACGGGAGGCAGCAGUAGGGAAUCUUCCGCAAUGGGCGAAAGCUUGACGGAGCAACGCCGCGUGAGUGAUGAAGGUCUUCGGAUCGUAAAACUCUGUUAGUAGGGAAGAACAAAUGUGUAAGUAACUAUGCACGUCUUGACGGUACCUAAUCAGAAAGCCACGGCUAACUACGUG
rnacentral:rRNA from 1 species